rnacentral:rRNA from 1 species
AAACAUCUAAGUAGGGCGAGGAAAAGACAUCAACAGAGAUUCCGUCAGUAGUGGCGAGCGAACGCGGAAGAGGCCAAACCGGAGGAUUUAUUCUCCGGGGUUGCGGACGAUCAUCACGGCAGGAAAGUUUAGCCGAACGGUCUGGGAAGGCCGGUCACAGAGGGUGAGAACCCCGUAGGCGAAAAACGAAUUCUGUCAGAUCGGAUCCAGAGUACCGCGGGACACGUGAAACCCCGUGGGAAACAGGGGGGACCACCCUCCAAGCCUAAAUACUACCUGAUGACCGAUAGAGGAGCAGUACCGUGAGGGAAAGGUGAAAAGGACCCCGGGAGGGGAGUGAAAGAGAACCUGAAACCUUGUGCUUACAAGCACUCAAAGCACGUUAAAGUGUGAUGAGGUACUUUUUGUAGAACGGUCCGGCGAGUUAUAGUAACGAGCAAGCUUAAGGUAUUCAGUACCGGAGGCGCAGCGAGAGCGAGUCUGAAUAGGGCGUAUGAAGUUCGUUGCCAUAGACCCGAAACCGGGUGACCUACCCAUGAGCAGGUUGAAGUGGGGGUGAAACCCCAUGGAGGACCGAACCGACCCCCGUUGCAAUGGUGGCGGAUGACUUGUGGGUAGCGGUGAAAUUCCAAUCGAACUCGGAGAUAGCUGGUUCUCCCCGAAAUAGCUUUAGGGCUAGCGUUAUGUUAGAUUACCGGAGGUAAAGCACUGAAUGGUAGCGGGGCCGAUAAGGUUACCAACGCCUAUCAAACUAAGAAUGCCGGCUAAUUGAUGCAUAGCAGUCAGACAGUGUGAGAUAAGUUUCAUUGUCAAAAGGGAAACAGCCCAGACCUACAGCUAAGGUCCCAAAUGUAUGCUAAGUGGAAAACGAUGUGGAAUUGCGAAAACAACCAGGAUGUUGGCUUAGAAGCAGCCACUCAUUAAAAGAGUGCGUAAUAGCUCACUGGUCGAGUGACUCUGCGCGGAAAAUGUAACGGGGCUAAGCAUCCAACCGAAGCUUAGGAUUGUCGUAAGACAGUGGUAGGGGAGCGUUCCAUGUGGGGUGAAGUCGCAGCGGAAGCAGCGGUGGACUGUAUUCGAGUGAGAAUGCCGGAAUGAGUAGCGAGAAUUAUGUGGGAAUCAUAAUGGCCGAAAAUCUAAGGUUUCUUGGGGAAGGUUCGUCCGCCCAAGGUAAGCCGGGAGCUAAGGCGAGGCCGAAAGGCGUAGUCGAUGCACAUACGGUAGAAAUUCCGUAGCCACCGAACCUUAAACCGGAAGGACACUUUCAGAUAGCAGAACCCAGCCGUUGGUAGAGCUGGGCGAAAGGGACUGAAAUAUAGUAGGGAAGUCUGCGAUGCUGAGAGGCGAGAAAAGCUCCGGUGUAUGCUAAGGUGCCCGUACCGCAAACCGACACAGGUAGAUGAGGAGAGAAUCCUAAGGCCAACGGGAGAAGGGUUGUUAAGGAACUCGGCAAAUUGACCCCGUAACUUCGGAAGAAGGGGAGCCCCGAAAGGGGCCGCAGUGAAUAGGCCCAAGCAACUGUUUACCAAAAACACAGGUUUAUGCUAAAUCGAAAGAUGACGUAUAUGAGCUGACGCCUGCCCGGUGCCGGAAGGUUAAGAGGAGAUGUCAACCUUAAGGUGAAGCAUUGAAUUGAAGCCCCGGUAAACGGCGGCCGUAACUAUAACGGUCCUAAGGUAGCGAAAUUCCUUGUCAGGUAAGUUCUGACCCGCACGAAUGGCGUAAUGAUUUGGGCACUGUCUCAACAGCCCGCCCGGCGAAAUUGUAGUACUGGUGAAGAUGCCAGUUACCCGCAACUAGACGGAAAGACCCCAUGGAGCUUUACUGCAGUUUAAUACUGGGAAUCGGUAAUGCAUGUACAGGAUAGGUGGGAGACUAGGAAGCAUAGUCGUCAGGCUAUGUGGAGUCACCGGUGGGAUACCACUCUUGUAUUGCUGGUUUCCUAACCUGCGGCCGUGAAUCCGGUCGGGGGACACUGUUAGACGGGCAGUUUGACUGGGGCGGUCGCCUCCAAAAGAGUAACGGAGGCGCUCAAAGGUUCGUUCAGCACGGACGGAAAUCGUGCAUUGAGUGUAAACGCAUAAACGAGCCUAACUGCGAGACCGACGGGUCGAGCAGUAACGAAAGUUGGAGUUAGUGAUCCGGUGGUAUGUGAGUGG